GGACUCAUGAUGUAAAGUUGACUGUAUAUUCAGCUCGAAGUCAUACACGGACAAUGCGAUCUCUGAGCUCGAUAUAAAAGAUGACAUAACGGUAAAUAACCGUUGAACUAUACAUACAAGAUUUUGGCGCUCUCUAGUGGCCAACCGAAAUCGCCAAAUAAACAAACAGCAGCGAUGGCUCAAGCGAAGGACACGCACAAAUGGACACCACAGGAGACCAGACGGCUCAUUAAUUUCAGGGCGACCAGGGACAAUGAGUUCCUAAAAUGAUCGCCAGAAAACAGUGGGAGCUUUUUCUGGAAGAAAUGGGGGUGGAGGGGAAAGUGACCAGGCAACAGGUUUCCAAGAAGUGGGAGAACCUUAAAAAGAAGUACAAGGUAUGUGUCUAGUUUGAAAUAAAC
rnacentral:lncRNA from 1 species